UACGUAGGCAGCAAGCGUUGUUCGGAGUUACUGGGCGUAAAGAGUGCGUAGGCGGUCCUGUAAGUUUGGUGUGAAACCUCCCGGCUCAACUGGGAGGGUGCGCCGAAGACUGCAGGGCUUGAGUAUGGGAGAGGUAAGCGGAAUUCCUGGUGUAGCGGUGAAAUGCGUAGAUAUCAGGAGGAACACCUGUGGUGUAGACAGCUUACUGGACCAUAACUGACGCUGAGGCACGAAAGCGUGGGUAGCAAACAGG
rnacentral:rRNA from 1 species